UUAUUAGGCGGAGGAAAAGAAACUAACCAGGAUUCCCUCAGUAAGGGCGACUGAAGCGGGAAUAGCUCAAGAUGUGAAUCGAUGUUUCGGCAUCGAAUUGUGGUCUAUCGAUUCUCGCGUCAAGGACCGGGUCAAGUCCCUUGGAAUAGGGCGGCUGAGAGGGUGAGACCCCCGUACCCCUGGUCUACGAAGCGAGUCUCUAUGAGUCGAGUUGUUUGGGAUUGCAGCUCAAAGUGGGUGGUAAAUUCCAUCUAAAGCUAAAUACUGGUGGGAGACCGAUAGCAAACAAGUACCGUGAGGGAAAGAUGCAAAGAACUUUGAAAAGAGAGUUAAAGAGUACCUGAAAUUGCUGAAAGGGAAGCGAAGGAAACCAGUGUGGACUCGGUCAUAUUUUUCUGUCUGCUUGCGGACAGGGCGCUGUGGCUGGGUUGUGUCAGUAUUGGUUGGACGAGGUGCAAAUGCGUGAAGGGAGUUGACCUUGACAUGCUCGACCUGGUCUGACUGAGUUCUGACAAAAUGGCUUUCUUCUCCCCG
rnacentral:rRNA from 1 species